ensembl:lncRNA
AUGGGGCUGGGACCCCCCUCAGUGGGGCAGAGAAUCCCCUCUAUGGGGCAAAGACCCCUUCAGUGGGGCAGAGACCCCUCAGUGGGGCUGAGACCCCCCCUCAGUGGGUCAGAGAAUCCCCUCUAUGGGGCUGGGACCCCCCUCAGUGGGGCAGAGACCUCCUCUGUGGGGCAAAACCCCCCUCAGUGGGGCAGGGAACCCCCUUCUAUGGGGCCGGGACCCCUCCAGUGGGGCAAAGACCCCUCAGUGGGGCUGAGACCCCCCUCAGUGGGUCAGAGACCCCCGCUAUGGGGCUGGGACCCGUUUCAGUGGGGCAGAGACCCCCUCUGUGGGGCUGGGACCCCUUCAGUGGGGCAGAGACCCUCUCUAUGGUGCUGGGACCCCCCUCAGUGGGGCAGAGACCCCCUCUAUGGGGCUGGGACCCCUUCAGUGGGGCAGAGACCCUGGGACCCCCCUCAGUGGGGCAGAGACCCCCUCUAUGGGGCUGGGACCCCUUCAGUGGGGCAGAGACCCCCUCUAUGGGGCUGGGACCCCUUCAGUGGGGCUGGGACCCCCCUCAGUGGGGCAGAGGCCCCUUCAGUGGGGCAGAGACCCUCUCUAUGGGGCUGGGACCCCCCCUCAGUGGGGCAGAGACCCCCUCUGUGGGGCUGGCACCCCUUUUUGGGGCAGAGACCCCCUCUGUGGGGCUGGGACCCCUUUCAGUGGGGCAGAGACCCCUCUGUGGGGCAGAGACCCCCUCUAUGGGGCUGGGACCCCUUCAGUGGGGCAGAGACCCCUCAGUGGGGCAAAACCCCCCUCAGUGGGGCAGGGAACCCCCUUCUAUGGGGCUGGGACCCCUUCAGUGGGGCUGAGACCCCCCUCAGUGGGGCUGAGACCCCCGCUAUGGGGCUGAGACCCCCCUCAGUGGGGCAGAGACCCCCUCUAUGGGGCUGGGACCCCCCUCAGUGGGGCAGGGACCCCCGCUAUGGGGCUGGGACCCCUCUAUGGGGCAGAGACCUCCUCUGUGGGGCAGGGAACCCCCUUCUAUGGGGCUGGGACCCCUUUCAGUGGGGCAGAGACCCCCCUCAGUGUGGGGUUCUGUGGGGUGGCCAUAGGGUCAAUGGGGUGGCUAUGGGGUCAGUGGGUGGCUAUGGGGUCUAUGGGGUGGCCAGUGGGUUUAUGGGGUGGCCAUGGGGUCUACGGGGUGUCUGUGGGGUCAGUGGGUGGCCACGGGAUCUAUGGGGUGGCCACGGUAUCUAUAGGGUGGCCAUGGGGUCUAUGGGGCAGCCACGGGAUCUAUGGGGCAACCAUGGGUUCUGUGGGGAAUCCAUGGGAUUUGUGGGGUGGCCAUGGGGCUUGUGGGGUGUCUAUGGGGUCGGUGGGGGAUGUGUGGGGCUGACAGAGUCUCCGAAAGGAUCUGUGGGGUGAACGUGGGGCUUUAUUGGGGUCGCUGGGGAUCUGUGGGUCGCGGCGUCUUCUCAGGUGGCGUCAGCCCGGGGGGCUCCGUGUGGGGCACCAAUAAAUUAUGGGGGGCCGGGGGGGCGCGGCGGGGU